CCAACAGUAGAGCUUCUACUGAACAGAGCGAGUCUGAAAGCGAUUCUUUUCGCGAGUAGGCUCUUCUGUCUAUACCCUUGUCUUUUGCGCACUCACUGUUUCCUCGGCGGGUCUGCCCGCCGGAUGGACAACUCUACCACCCUUUUAAUUUUCAAUCAGCGUCUGAAUACCUAUAAUUAUUUA
rnacentral:misc_RNA from 1 species